UCAAGGUCAGAAGAUGGUGAUGGUGAGCUUGCUUCUACUCUUCCCAUGAUGGCCAGUCAUCCUGAGACAGAAGCCGAAAACUUUUCAGAAGCUCCACAAACAGCUGUAGUACACAUGAUCCCUUCAACAGAAAAUUAUGCACUACCGUCUUCCACUGGAGAUGUAGGACAUCCCAAAGACCAGGUGUGUGAGGGAAAGCCAGAGCCCAGACUGCUGUACUGGGUUAUUUCUG